rnacentral:tRNA from 1 species
GUUAAGGUGGCAGAGCCCGGAUAAUGCAAGAGGCCUAAGCCCUCUCUACAGGGGUUCAACUCCUCUCCUUAACU